AAAAUGCGAUAAGUCAUGUGAAUUGCAGAUAUCGGUGAAUCAUCGAAUUUUUGAACGCAGCACGCACUCUUGGGUUUUCUCAAGAGUAUGUCUGUUUGAGUGUCACUAUAAUAAUAAUUACCAAAAAAAAUAUAUAUAUUUUUUAAGGUAUAAUUGAAAGUCCAAAUAAUUUUUUUUUUUUUUUUAAUAAAAAAAAAAGAUAUUAUUGGUCUUUUUAAAUAUAUAGUAAAGAAUUAUAUUAAAAAAAAAAAAUAAAUAAUUAAAUGUUUUUUUAACAUAUUUUUAUUUUAUAUUUUUUUUUACUCAAUAAUAAUAAUUUUUUUUACUAUUCAUUUAUUUAAUUUAUCUCAAAAAAUGACAUCAAAUCAGGCAAGGCUACCCGCUGAACUUAAGC
rnacentral:misc_RNA from 1 species